UAGAGUUUGAUCCUGGCUCAGGAUGAACGCUGGCGGCGUGCCUAAUACAUGCAAGUCGAGCGAACUGAUUAGAAGCUUGCUUCUAUGACGUUAGCGGCGGACGGGUGAGUAACACGUGGGCAACCUGCCUGUAAGACUGGGAUAACUUCGGGAAACCGAAGCUAAUACCGGAUAGGAUCUUCUCCUUCAUGGGAGAUGAUUGAAAGAUGGUUUCGGCUAUCACUUACAGAUGGGCCCGCGGUGCAUUAGCUAGUUGGUGAGGUAACGGCUCACCAAGGCAACGAUGCAUAGCCGGCCUGAGAGGGUGAUCGGCCACACUGGGACUGAGACACGGCCCAGACUCCUACGGGAGGCAGCAGUGGGGAAUUUUGGACAAUGGGGGAAACCCUGAUCCAGCCAUGCCGCGUGAGUGAAGAAGGCCUUCGGGUUGUAAAGCUCUUUCAGCCGGAACGAAACGGUCACGGCUAAUACCUGUGACUACUGACGGUACCGGAAGAAGAAGCACCGGCUAACUACGUGCCAGCAGCCGCGGUAAUACGUAGGGUGCAAGCGUUAAUCGGAAUUACUGGGCGUAAAGCGUGCGCAGGCGGUUUUGUAAGUCAGAUGUGAAAUCCCCGGGCUUAACCUGNGAACUGCGUUUGAAACUACAAGGCUAAAGUGUGGCAAAGGGGGGGUGGAAUUCCACGUGUAGCAGUGAAAUGCGUANAGAUGUGGAAGAACACCGAUGGCGAAGGCACCCCCCUGGGUUAACACUGACGCUCAGGCAACAAAGCGUGGGGAACAAACAGGAUUAAAUACCCUGC
rnacentral:rRNA from 1 species